rnacentral:rRNA from 1 species
AUUGAACGCUGGCGGCAUGCCUUACACAUGCAAGUCGAACGGUAACGGGCCUUCGGGUGCCGACGAGUGGCGAACGGGUGAGUAAUACAUCGGAACGUGCCCGAUCGUGGGGGAUAACGAGGCGAAAGCUUUGCUAAUACCGCAUACGAUCCACGGAUGAAAGUAGGGGAACGCAAGGCCUAGCGCGGACGGAGCGGCCGAUGGCAGAUUAGGUAGUUGGUGGGAUAAAAGCUUACCAAGCCGACGAUCUGUAGCUGGUCUGAGAGGAUGAUCAGCCACACUGGGACUGAGACACGGCCCAGACUCCUACGGGAGGCAGCAGUGGGGAAUUUUGGACAAUGGGCGCAAGCCUGAUCCAGCCAUGCCGCGUGCAGGAUGAAGGCCUUCGGGUUGUAAACUGCUUUUGUACGGAACGAAAAGCCUUCUUUUAAUACAGGAGGGUCAUGACGGUACCGUAAGAAUAAGCACCGGCUAACUACGUG